rnacentral:rRNA from 1 species
AUUGAACGCUGGCGGCAGGCCUAACACAUGCAAGUCGAACGGUAACAGAAAGCGGCUUGCUGCUUUGCUGACGAGUGGCGGACGGGUGAGUAAUGUCUGGGAAACUGCCUGAUGGAGGGGGAUAACUACUGGAAACGGUAGCUAAUACCGCAUAACGUCGCAAGACCAAAGAGGGGGACCUUCGGGCCUCUUGCCAUCGGAUGUGCCCAGAUGGGAUUAGCUAGUAGGUGGGGUAACGGCUCACCUAGGCGACGAUCCCUAGCUGGUCUGAGAGGAUGACCAGCCACACUGGAACUGAGACACGGUCCAGACUCCUACGGGAGGCAGCAGUGGGGAAUAUUGCACAAUGGGCGCAAGCCUGAUGCAGACAUGCCGCGUGUAUGAAGAAGGCCUUCGGGUUGUAAAGUACUUUCAGCGGGGAGGAAGGGAGUAAAGUUAAUACCUUUGCUCAUUGACGUUACCCGCAGAAGAAGCACCGGCUAACUCCGUG